rnacentral:rRNA from 1 species
UACGGGGGGUGCAAGCGUUGUCCGGAAUCAUUGGGUUUAAAGGGUGCGUAGGUUGUUUUUUAAGUCAGCGGUGAAAGUUUGUGGCUCAACCAUAAAAUUGCCGUUGAAACUGGAAGACUUGAGUGUGUUUGAGGUAGGCGGAAUGCGUGGUGUAGCGGUGAAAUGCAUAGAUAUCACGCAGAACUCCGAUUGCGAAGGCAGCAUACCGGCGCCCAACUGACGCUGAAGCACGAAAGCGUGGGUAUCGAACAGG